UGUGUAGGUGGCGCGCUAAGUCGGGUGUGAAAUUUCGGAGCUUAACUCCGAAACUGCAUUCGAUACUGGCGUGCUUGAGGACUGGAGAGGAGACUGGAAUUCAUGGUGUAGCAGUGAAAUGCGUAGAGAUCAUGAGGAAGACCAGUGGCGAAGGCGGGUCUCUGGACAGUUCCUGACACUGAGACACGAAGGCCAGGGGAGCAAACG
rnacentral:rRNA from 1 species